UUUUCUACGGAAUAACGCAGGGAAACUUGUGCUAAUACCGUAUGAGCCCUUCGGGGGAAAGAUUUAUCGGGAAAGGAUGAGCCCGCGUUGGAUUAGCUAGUUGGUGGGGUAAAGGCCUACCAAGGCGACGAUCCAUAGCUGGUCUGAGAGGAUGAUCAGCCACAUUGGGACUGAGACACGGCCCAAACUCCUACGGGAGGCAGCAGUGGGGAAUAUUGGACAAUGGGCGCAAGCCUGAUCCAGCCAUGCCGCGUGAGUGAUGAAGGCCCUAGGGUUGUAAAGCUCUUUCACCGGUGAAGAUAAUGACGGUAACCGGAGAAGAAGCCCCGGCUAACUUCGUGCCAGCAGCCGCGGUAAUACGAAGGGGGCUAGCGUUGUUCGGAAUUACUGGG
rnacentral:rRNA from 1 species